rnacentral:rRNA from 1 species
GCAACUCGACUACAUGAAGCCGGAAUCGCUAGUAAUCGCGGAUCAGAAUGCCGCGGUGAAUACGUUCCCGGGUCUUGUACACACCGCCCGUCACACCAUGGGAGCCGGAAAUGCCCGAAGUCAGUGACCCAACCGCGAGGAGGGAGCUGCCGAAGGCAGGUCUGGUAACUGGGGUGAAGUCGUAACAAGGUACC